GUCGUCUGCUGGUAGUUACUGGUUUGUUAAAUUGUUUGUUCGUUGUGACGGUCUGUAGUGGUUAGAUGUCAGACGCUUUGUUUAUGGAGAAGUCUGCGAGUAUGCCGGCUGACCGUGUUACAAACCAGGAAGUAGACAUGUUCGAGGGUUUGAUGAGGUUAUCACUAAAGGGUCUGACUUUGUUGUUGUAGUACAUUCAAUUUGGAAACUGUAUGCGCAGUACAAUAAAUUCUUGCAGUUGGAUCUUUCAUGUUGCAUGUAAGCAAUGGACAAGUUACAAGUACUGUUUACAAGAGAGUUGCAGUUACAAUCACCUUCUGUGUGACAUCAAAAUACGUGACACAGUUGUCUUCCAGCGGAGAAGAGGCAAUAUUGUGGUCACUCCUCUGUACCUUAUUCUCUUGCGAAAAGUAUAACUUAAUCCACACACAAUAAAUGCAUAGAUGUCGUAGGCCCUACCGUUACAAAUGUUGCUGUGGCACAUUACCUGGAUGUGGAACAUCGAGGCAGACCACAUCAGUCCAAGGAAAAAAAUAUAAUGGAUAGAAAUGAUAGUGAGCUCCGCUACAGUUUCAGGCAGAUGUGUUUUUAUUUUUCUGUGCAGUGAGCAAAUGAUCACUGGCUGUUAAUUAUACAUGCAGGGAUGUUUUGUCUAACACCUUCCCUAUAAAUAAUUUGAUUCCUUUGUAUUGUGUUACGGGUU